rnacentral:rRNA from 1 species
GAUUUCUGGCUUGAAACAUUUUGCCGGCCACGGUUUCGUGUGUUAGUGCUUGAUGUUCUGGCCAUCCUUCCAAUCGCUACUGGCUUGUCUUCAUUGAUUGGUCAGUAGUAUUGGAUCUUUUACUUUGAAAAAAUUAGAGUGUCUCAAGCAGGCUCUAUGCUAUGAAUACAUUAGCAUGGAAUAAUAAUUUAGGACUUCGGUUCUAUUUUGUUGGUUUCUAGGACUGAAGUAAUGAUUGAUAGGGACAGUUGGGGGUGCUAGUAUUCAGCGGCCAGAGGUGAAAUUCUCGGAUUCGCUGAAGACUAACUUAUGCGAAAGCAUU